AUUGAACGCUGGCGGCAUGCUUUACACAUGCAAGUCGAACGGCAGCGCGGGCUUCGGCCUGGCGGCGAGUGGCGAACGGGUGAGUAAUGCAUCGGAACGCGCCCAGUAGUGGGGGAUAGCCCGGCGAAAGCCGGAUUAAUACCGCAUACGACCUGAGGGUGAAAGCGGGGGACCGAAAGGCCUCGCGCUAUUGGAGCGGCCGAUGUCGGAUUAGCUAGUUGGUGGGGUAAGGCUUACCAAGGCGACGAUCCGUAGCUGGUCUGAGAGGACGACCAGCCACACUGGAACUGAGACACGGCCCAGACUCCUACGGGAGGCAGCAGUGGGGAAUUUUGGACAAUGGGGGCAACCCUGAUCCAGCCAUACCGCGUGCGGGAAGAAGGCCUUCGGGUUGUAAACCGCUUUUGUUCGGGAAGAAAUCCUCUGGGCUAAUACCCCGGGGGGAUGACGGUACCGGAAGAAUAAGCACCGGCUAACUACGUG
rnacentral:rRNA from 1 species